GUGACUGUAGUUCAAUGGCAGAGCUCUGGAUUGUGGUUCCAGCCGUUGCGGGUUCGAGUCCCGUCAGUCACC
rnacentral:tRNA from 1 species